CAAAGUAUUUUACUUGCAUUUAUGGAGUUUUAUUUGGUUUGUGUUUAUUCAAAAUAUUAAUUGUGUAUGGUGUAGAUAACAUGAUCAGAACAUUGCAAUGAAUGAUUAAUAAUUGCAUGAAGCACCUAACAAGUAUUACACAUUUAAAUUAGUCUUGCUUUUGACCAAUGAGGAAACUGUCAUCAUCCUUCUUUGUUAUAAUGUAAUAACCACUUCAUUUUUAGAAUGAAA
rnacentral:lncRNA from 1 species